rnacentral:rRNA from 1 species
AUUGAGCGCUGGCGGCAUGCUUUACACAUGCAAGUCGAACGGUAACAGGUUAAGCUGACGAGUGGCGAACGGGUGAGUAAUGCAUCGGAACGUGCCCUGUCGUGGGGGAUAACGCAGCGAAAGCUGCGCUAAUACCGCAUACGAUCUGAGGAUGAAAGCGGGGGACCGUAAGGCCUCGCGCGAUCGGAGCGGCCGAUGUCAGAUUAGGUAGUUGGUGGGGUAAAGGCUCACCAAGCCAAAGAACUGUAGCUGGUCUGAGAGGACGACCAGCCACACUGGGACUGAGACACGGCCCAGACUCCUACGGGAGGCAGCAGUGGGGAAGUUUGGACAAUGGGCGAAAGCCUGAUCCAGCAAUGCCGCGUGCAGGAAGAAGGCCUUCGGGUUGUAAACUGCUUUUGUACGGAGCGAAAAGGCCUCCUCUAAUACAGGGGGCUCAUGACGGUACCGUAAGAAUAAGCACCGGCUAACUACGUGCCAGCCGCCGCCGCAG